rfam:Gossypium raimondii Chr12_contig_15, whole genome shotgun sequence.
UAUUAAAAGAUUCAUCCAUUUCUACUGUUAAAACUAGCACGAAUGACAGAAUAAUCGGGCAGUUACACAAGGUGUGCCACGUGUACCUCAUACUAACAUACAAAAGUAAAAAUGGAUGAGAGUUUUAACA